rnacentral:rRNA from 1 species
UAAGGAAUAUUGGUCAAUGGGCGCAAGCCUGAACCAGCCAUGCCGCGUGCAGGAAGACGGCCCUAUGGGUUGUAAACUGCUUUUAUCAGGGAAUAAACCCCCGCUCGUGAGCGGGGCUGAAGGUACCUGAAGAAUAAGCAUCGGCUAACUCCGUGCCAGCAGCCGCGGUAAUACGGAGGAUGCAAGCGUUAUCCGGAUUCAUUGGGUUUAAAGGGUGCGCAGGCGGAUUGGUAAGUCAGGGGUGAAAUCCCACAGCUCAACUGUGGAACUGCCUUUGAUACUGUCAGUCUAGAGUAGAGUUGAAGUGGGCGGAAUGUGUCAUAUAGCGGUGAAAUGCUUAGAUAUGACACAGAACACCGAUCGCGAAGGCAGCUCGCUAAGCUAUAACUGACGCUCAUGCACGAAAGCGUGGGGAUCAAACAG